GACGAACGCUGGCGGCGUGCUUAACACAUGCAAGUCGAGCGGUAAGGCCCUUUCGGGGGUACGACGAGCGGCGAACGGGUGAGUAACGCGUGGGUGACCUGCCCUCAGCUCUGGGAUAAGCCUGGGAAACCGGGUCUAAUACCGGAUAUGACUCCAUGACGCAUGUUGUGGGGUGGAAAGCCUUGUGCGGCUGAGGAUGGGCCCGCGGCCUAUCAGC
rnacentral:rRNA from 1 species